UACGUAGGGGGCAAGCGUUGUCCGGAUUUAUUGGGCGUAAAGAGCGCGUAGGCGGCUAGGUAGGUCCGUUGUGAAAACUCGAGGCUCAACCUCGAGACGUCGAUGGAAACCAUCUAGCUAGAGUCCGGAAGAGGAGAGUGGAAUUCCUGGUGUAGCGGUGAAAUGCGCAGAUAUCAGGAAGAACACCCGUGGCGAAGGCGGCUCUCUGGUACGUGACUGACGCUGAGACGCGAAAGCGUGGGGAGCAAACAGG
rnacentral:rRNA from 1 species